GAUGAACGCUGGCGGCGUGCUAAAUACAUGCAAGUCGAACGAAGACAGUAGCAAUAUUGUCUGAGUGGCGAACGGGUGAGUAACGCGUUGGUGACCUGCCCCGAAGAGAGGGAUAACAGUCCGAAGGGUUUGCUAAUACCCCAUUGGGUUAUUUGGAUUAGAGGCCUUUUACCUAACCGGAUUUAUUCGUUUCGGGAGGGACCUGCGUCCCAUCAGCUAGUUGGUAGGGUAACGGCCUACCAAGGCUAUGACGGAUAGGGGACCUGAGAGGGUGGCCCCCCACAAUGGAACUGAAACACGGUCCAUACACCUACGGGUGGCAGCAGUAGGGAAUAUUGGUUAAUCUGCGAAAGCGGGAACCAGCAACGACGCGUGCACGAUGAAGGCCUUCGGGUUGUAAAGUGCUUUUUGAAAGGAUGAGGAAGGACAGUACUUUCAGAAUAAGCUUCGGCUAACUACGUGCCAGCCGCCGCCGUAACAC
rnacentral:rRNA from 1 species